GCGUCAAUGGUCUAGUGGUAGAAUAUCCGCUUGCCAUGCGGGUGACCCGGGUUCGAUUCCCGGUUGACGCA
rfam:Perkinsela sp. CCAP 1560/4 XT18scaffold_8650, whole genome shotgun sequence.